GUGUCACCAGAGCGGUAUUUUUGUGUGAAGGGAAGGGUCAGAGCAUCACAACGUGACAUCAAGGCCCACGGUGGUGUUGCGCUCGCAACCCUACUUGGUUCUCACAGGGCUUGAGCGUACUGAAGGAUGGCACGGUACGUGAGGUAAGCCUCGGCAUGGGCUACAACGUGCACCUCUCAUCCCUUACACCAGGUGAAUCUGCUCAUGCUCCCUGGGGCCUGUCGGAGGAGGCAUAUUCCUGCAUAAGGCAACUCAAAUCUACAGAGCAUCGUUAUUGGGAUGGAGGAGCUCCGGUUUCCAUCAAGAAUCCUCCUCUUCAGUGGCUGGAAAUGCUGAUAUGUUGUCCUUGUGAGCUGAUUUCCUAGCUCAGAUUUAGGGAUUGAGGUCACUGUGUGUAAUGGGUAGAAUUAUUCCAUGCAGCUGCAG